CUUUCAAAAGCAGCCUUUCCACAAACACCAGGAAUAGGUCUUGGGAGAAGCAGCUUUCGGCAGUUUAGGUGGGAAUUAAUUCCAAGGGGACUUACAGUGGAUUCUUAGCAAGUCCUCUGGGGGACCUGGCAGUGUGGUCACCAGGAAGCCAGUUCCCUAGGACUGAGAGGAGACAUCCUCUGCCUCUGCCCUCACUUGCCUCCCCAGCUCCAUCCCUAUUUUCCGACUUCUCUAGCUACCUCCUGGUGAUCUCUGUCAGAGGAGAACUCCUGGAGGCCGGAAGUGUGACCCUCUGUCCUCCACUUUAUUAGUAAAGAUGAGGGACACGGGCUGGUUCUUAGACAAAACCAAAGUGAAAUGCCCAGCAGGCAUGCUUAUCUCUGUGAGAGGGGAUGGGAAAGUGGGAGGACCGGCUCCCUUUGGGGAAGGCAAGGGAAGUUUAAAAGAAGCUCAGGGAGAUGGGUAUUGGGGCCAAACCUAACCAGGUGAAAUGCCACCAGAUGAAAACCAAGGAUUAAACAAAAAGAAACAACAACGAUGACAAAGCCAACUGCAGAACGGGAAAACGUGGGCGUGUUAGCUGAGCACGACCUUACUCUCAACCUGUGUGUGGCUUGAAGCCUCGGGAAGUGUGGCCGCAGGAACAACCCCGUGCAGGUCACAGGGAAGAGGAAUCACACAGAAAGGAGCUCUAUUGCUCAAGGGCUGUCAGGACCCUCGAACUGCAUAAGCUUCAGAGUUCCCAAGGUCUUGAUCUUCCCUUGGAGACCAAGGAAUAUGAACUUUCUCAGGGCCUAAAAAAUAAAAUAUGAGUCGAGCCAAAACAAACAAAAUAUUAUUGGCUACAAAAUGAAAAAUUGCAAGAUUGAUAUUAUCAAUAGUAAGUAUGUACUUGUCUACGAAACAUAACACAAUAUCCACUUCAUUAAUUGUAAAAUUUUAAACUCAUAAAGCUUGAAUACAUUUGAAAAUAAUUUGCGGGCUAGGUGUUCUCCCUUGCAAGAUUUCCUGAGUAUGUCUGAUGAUUGUGAAGAAAUCAUAGCUAAUUAGAAAGUGUUGCUCAUACACAAAUAACUUAAAAAGCAAAAAUAUAACAUUUUCUUUCAAAAGUUUUUCCAGAAAAAAUGUAUUUAAAUGUAGAACUUAGUCACUUAGCCACAUCCGUGGCAUUCCCCGGAAUGCUGCUUAGGAGGCUGUCUUAAUAUUGAUUACUUUGCAGAGCAAUCGAUUACCUGUCUCUUUCCCAUACUACGUAUACAGCCAAGUCUCCUUAUUUGCAGUAGUUUUAUUCUAUAAAGUUGCUGCAAACAUCAAAUUAGCAAACACUGAGCCUUUGCUCCUAGGGGAAAUACUGGCUUAGGUUCCUGUGGGCCUCCAGUCACGACAUUUUCAUCAGUAGAUCGAUAUAUAAACUUGUUUUAUGUACAUUUCUGUUGAAGACACCUAAUUUAAUGUCUAUUUCUUAAAACUAAUUAAUCACAUGCAAUAUUUCUGUUUAAUAGAAUACCAGCCGAGAAGGGUUUAACAGCUUUCUGACCCUGGGUAAUGUUACUAUAAAUUUCUUCGGUUCUUAUCCUCACAAUGCUGUCCACUAUGUUUUCUGGUUUUUUUUUUUUUCCACAUCAGUUGUCACUUCAUGAAUUCAUAAGUUCAGCUACUUUUCCGUAGCCUCAUCAGGCAUUCUAGUUAUUAAUUUAGCACUUUCCAGAGCAGAAUCACAUACAAAUCAGUGAUUUUCCUCUCUCCUUUUCUGAAAGUACCAAAUCAUUGGUUCAUUGACAUUGAACUCAUGCCUGAAGGAAACUUAUGGAGCAGUGGUUGUUUCUCCAUAAGUACCUUGUAGCCUUCUUGUGCUUAGAACACUAGAGAAUAUGUCAGCACUGUACUUGCGGGCCAUUUAAAAUAGUGGAAUCACCAAAGAAAAGCACAAAAAUAUGAAAAAUGUGGCACUAAAUAGAUUGCGACAAAGAGGCUUGUUAACAGUAUGGCAGCUGAAACAGGAGAGCAUUGCCUUGCUUGACGUUGGCCAGAACCGUGUGUCAAGCAGCUCAGACCCCACCCGUAUGCCAUGCUAGUUUAGAGACGGUUAUAGAAGUACCAUGAGAAUUUGCUUGCAAAUACAGAAGCCACAAGGCAUGAAGAUCUACCGUUCCCUAUUCGAGAACAGGCUCUCUGUCCUAGUGUUUCCUGUCCUAAUGCUUAGCAUACAGGGGAUUCAAUCGUUAAUUUGUGGAAUAAAUAAAUGAAGAAAGCUCAAAUGUCCUCUCUUUUCUUGGAUCAACCUUACUGGAGUUGAACUCUGCUUCUCAGCUUCACCCUGAGCCUUCUCUUCCUUUAUUACAUCAUGGAGGUGGAUGAAUCCAUUUCCAGAGGCAGACAGCUGAGCUAUUCACAUACCCAAUGAAUAGAUGCUUUUAAUUUUAUUUAAUGUUAUUUCUUUUAAAAAUAUUACCUCCCUUACUAGAUGGUGAAGUCCUGAAGAACACAAUCUCUAUCACAUCUGUUGAUUUAUUUUUAAUGGACUGAAAGUUUGGAUCAGAGGACCUCUGAAACUCUCCGGUUGCUAAAAUUAUUAUUAGGGGCAAAGCUACUGAGCCAUGAUCCAUCAAGGGACUUACAGACAAAUGUAAUCAAACCACUUAGAAGAUUUUACAUUAGUAUCCCCUGCAAAUGACAUAGAGCUUAGUGCAUGCGGUAUCAAAGAUUUCCUUUGCAAAUAAGAGAAGAAAAUAAACGAAGGUGUAUAGCUCAAGGAGAAAAUAACAAAUUGUACUGUUUGGAAGAGAAGCUAAUGAUGAGAGAUUAUAGGGAGCAAGAAUUUGUGCAUGGAAAGGAAUAAUUUAUGCAACAGGAAAUGAUUACCCUGUGAGUAUUUAAGAAGUAAGAAGAAUGCCUGUCAGAGAGGGGCCCCGGUGAUCCUAAGGAAGGCUUGGCACCUGGGGGCUGAACACCGGGAUGGAUGUCAGUGUGUCCAGGCUUCCCUGAUGGUAAAACUCGCCUGAGGCACCUGUUCAAGUCCCGAGGAACCAGAUCUUGUCCUGGCAGCAGCUCUGUUCAGUAGGUCUACACUGGAGGUGGGAAUUUUUGUUUGUUAUUUGCUUUAAACAAGGGAUCCAGGUGAAUCCUAUCCUCAGGAAAGUUUGGGAAGCUCUGGAGUCUGGAAGACUUCUGAGGCCCCUUCAGCUAAAGCCCCACAGGCUCUGCGUCAGCCCACAGUAGCUGCAGUCACACUGCAUGAGCCUCUCACACGAGCUCUUAUGCCAGCAGAGGCGUGUUAACUGAUCAGAUCUCCUAUAGCACCAACUUCUCAAAACUCUCUCCCCCCACAGGGCACAGCCUUGAGGUUACAAUAAAAUCACCUGACUAUAUUGAAUCUUCUCAGUUUCUUAAUGCUAAAAUGUGAUGAUUCAUGGGCGUAGUCACUGAGAUGAACCAUGCCUGUGGAAUCAGGAGGAUGUGCUGGGGUGGCCCUGCUUGCCCAAGCUCAUGCCGGGAGCAGCAGGCUGGGUGGCAGACUUAUUCCUUGAGUGCAUCGCCUGGCUCAGAACAAAAAUGAGUUUGCCCCCAUCCUCUCAGGGGACUGAACAGCUCUGGCCACCCCAGUGGGACUUGGUACAACUAGCCCCUUUUGAAAGGACACUCGUCCUGCAUUUCCUAGGACCAGAGAUGGGAAACAGGGUCUUAUAAUCAAAUUUUGUUUUUAGAUGAAUGGUUUUUGUAAUUAAUAACAAGAAUUCAAUGCACCCACCAAAAAGUAGAGAAUUAAUCUAUAUACCUCUUCCUGCGGGGGGCAACGUAGACAUGCAACGUGCUGGUCGGAGGGUCACUCUGGCACACGCCGUCGCUUAGGCUUGCUGCUCUGCACCUGCGUCACAGGGCUCGGAAGCACCGAGACAUGGGCUGUCUGCAGCAGACACAGCGUUCGGCACUUCCUGAACUCGGGCACAGGCCCGACCACCUGGGGAUCGUGCCAAAAUGUCGAUUCGGAUUUUCUAGGUCCAGAGUGAGGUCUGAGGUUCUGCCCUUCUAACCACCUCCCAGGCCACACUAUGGAUCACACGUUGAGAAGUAAUGUCCUGGGGGUGCUGUAAGAAUCGAGAAAACCAGCAGUGGGCUGCCAGUGAUAAGAGGAGGGAGGAGAACAAGUAAGAAGAUGUUUGGAGAAAGCAUGAGAAAGGCUGAGAAGAGGAGGAGGAGGCGGCACAGAGCCGGGAGAGGGUUCACUGGAUGACAGCACAGGCCUGUGGGAAUAUCUGUGCCUGCACUCUCUGCUUGCACAAUAGAAUCCCCUGGGAACUCUAAAACUUAAUGAUGCCUGGGUCCCACACUCAGAAAUUCUGAUUUAAUUGAGCUGAGGUUUGGGCUGGGAAUUGGGAUUUUCAAAAGCUCCCCAAAUGGUUCUAAUGUGCACCAAGGUGGCCAUCUGCUUCUCAGGCACAAUGAUCUAGGGAUCGGGGGAUGUAGGGAGAAUGAGCUCAGGGGAGCCCUGCAAUAAGCCCAGUCAACGUGCGAUGAGGGUGGAAGGGAGCUGGUGAGGGAAGUGGUGGAAGUCAAGUGCAGUCCUUGUUUUAUUUGUACCUCUGGGAGAGCUCAGUGCUGAGGAACAGAAGAAGCGGGAUUUUUGGGUAAAUGUUAUUCAUAGCUCGCUCAGCCUUGAGACUGUGUCCCUGAGGAGUGUGGCUCAAGGGCUCAGCUGCCCGUCUCUUAGAGUGGAGGGUGGAGGCACAGUCUUUACACGUGUUACAAGUGCCAUUAGGCCCUGGAGAGCCGAUGCCAGGCAGCUGCUCUGGGAUCCGGUUAGUUCUGUAAGGGCAGUGGAGGGCACUGGAAGGGUCUGGGCUCUAGACAUUGUGACCACUUGACUCCUGGGAAGUUGAGCUGUCUCCUACCCUCUUGGCAACAGAUUGGAAUUACAGACUAAAAUAUCAGCUCCUGGGUAUUAAACCAGACUCUGGUUUAAUAAGUCUGGAAUGGGACCUGGGCAUCAACCUUUUUAAAGUUCCCUAGAUAAUGCCAGUGUGAAGUUAGAACCUUCUUGCUUGAGUCCCAUGGAGCUGUGUCUCAUGCUCCAGCCCUGCCCACACCUUCUUUGCUGCAGACUCAAGAGAAUGUGCCAGAAUGUAUUAGUUUCCUAUUUCUGCUGUAACAAAUGACCAUAAACCUAGUGGCUUAAACACUUAUUACCUCAUAAUUCUGGAGGUCAGAAGUCUGACAGGGUCUCCCUGGAAGGGCAAUGUUCCCUUCUGGAGGCUCUGGGGUGGGGUGGGGAGGUGAGGGGGUCCCUUUCCUUGUCUUUUCCAUCUUCUAGAGGUUGCUUGCAUUCCUUGCUCAUGGCUCCCUUCCUCCAUCUUCAAAGCCAGCAGUUGUCUAUCUCUGAACAUUCUUCCAUAGUCAGAUGUUCCUCUGACUGAUAACAGCAGGGAAAGGUUCUCUGCUUUUAAGGUCUCAUGUGAUUAGAUUGGGACACUGGGUAAUCCAGGGUAAUCUCUCCAUCUCAGGGUCCUUAACUUUCAUCACAUCUAAGAGUCCCUUUUGCCAUGUAAUCACAGGUUCUAGGGAUUCGGAGGCAGACAAGUUUGGGGGCCAGUAUCUGCCUACCACGCCUGUCCUGAGACUUGUUCCUCCACUCUGCCCCACACGGUGGCUCCGCUGAUCCAUGGGAGCCUCUGGGCAUCCUUCCUUCUGGGAGGGGGUGGCAGCGAGGAGGGGGGGAGCCGCCGAGUGUAUGACUGAAGCUCUGUAGUCCGGGGCCGAUGGGUAAGAUGAGGAAGGAUGUGCAGCCCACCCCAGAGCCACCUUCCAAAACACUGGGCAGCUGUGACAGACCCAUGAGAAAAGAAAAGUCUAUGUCAUUUUGAAAUGAAGAAAACACAGCAUUUUCUUUGUUCCAUAGCUGUUUUCCAACUGUUGAUAUACUAAGGUUGAUUACAAAGUUCAAAAGAACUUGUGCAAUUCAAUUCCACUUAUACUGAAACUGGAGACUAAAACAAAAUCAUCUUGAAGGUCAAGGGGCACUUAGCACCUGCGGAUCCAGGCUGUAGUGAGAAUGCAAGCAGCUUGGGUUCAUUCAUUCUGCGGGCUGGAGUUCACCUCACAGCUGCCUGCUCUGGCUGUCCUCUCACUUAGCCUUUCCAUGUCCCCACCGGUAUUAAGUGUGAUCACGAGCCUGUUGGCUGUGUACUUUUCUAUUAGAACUCACGCGCCAGACGAGGGCUUGGUCCUUCGUUGGUUUUUGUCUAAGGACAGCGUCUCGGUCUUCAGCAUGAUGGAAAGCCUCAAUUAUCAGAAGCUUUUGGGGCAGAUGAGCAAAAUCUCCACUUUGAAGUCAAAUUCUGUUUGACAUUUUAGGAAUUAACCCAAGAUUUUAUAUUUGCCCUCUUUCCAGCAUUCAUGCACUUCACUGUGUGCUCUUGGGAAAGUCACUCAACCUCUCUGAGGGCAGCACUGGCCUCACCUUGGAGGGCUCAUUCCUGAUGGGCUGGUCAUUUCAGAGCCUCAUUUCCUCUCUAUAACAUGAGGAGGUGGAAGCAGGAGCUUUCUAUGGCCCCAAGGCUCUGUGAUUCUGAGAGAGCAGGGCUGAUCCCAGGGAUGGCAAGGUGGGCAUUGGAAUCUGGUGAGAACCCAAAACACCAGGAGAAGAAUCAGACUCCCAGUCGGCCAAGCAUUGACUCUUCCUGCUUUUCCUUUUCCAGAAACACAGUCCCCACAUCUGCAUCGACUCCUGCCUCCUCCCCUUUCCCGCCCCUCUCUAUGCACUAAGACCAUUUGGUAAAGAGAGGACUGGAGGGAGACCCUCAGGGAGAAGGCCAGGAGGCUGAAAUCAAAAGCAAUUUCAGCUGGGCACGCGGAUCUCCCCUUGCGUCUCAUCACACCCUUCUUAUACCGCCCUCCAAUUUACUUUAUUCCCCACAUUCCACUGAAGGAUGCAUCACCUCCGUGCAAAACAUCAAGUCCUUACCAAUCACCCCACCUAACUGGAAUGGAGGCUGGAAGGAAGGGAGAAGCAGCUCAUCUAGUCUGUUAGUCCAACGUUCAUUUAUUGGGUGUCUUCCGAGUUCAGAGCCAGUCACUGAAUCACAGAACGUCAGGGCUGGCAGAGCCCUCAUAAAUCAUCCCGUCCACCCCCAGUACUUUACAGAUGGCAGCGCUCCCAUGGAGAGGUUAAAUCACCUGCUUCAGGUCACACAGCAGAGCUCAGGCCAGAAUUCAAGAUAGCCUGUCACCGGUUCUUUGUGCUUUGCACCGCACCCUGUGGCUUAAGGAAGGUGCUGAUGGUUGCUUAGCUUCUAUGAGCAUAAAGCGAAGGAAAACAGACACCAUUUCUCUGAAGUGCUCGAAAUUAAGAAGGACCCAGGACGCAAAAAAGAUGAAUAGCAAGGCAUUUUUAGAAAGUGAAAUUGGAAAGCAUGGAAGUAACUCUCUCCUGCAAAUGGUGAUCACAUUAGGAGGAUGUGGGGGAAAAUGGUCUUCUGGGGGGCAGGGAGGAGCCUUUAGUGAAUUGGUUUUCCUUCCUUGCUACAUUGGCUCGUUCGUCUGCUUUCUCACUGGCACACACAAUUCUCCUGCCAUUUUUCUUUUCCUUGACAUAUUUAUUACUUUAUUUUCAUAUUCUACUGUAAACCUUGGUAUACAUAGCUUUUAAAGCAGCUAUUUUUAAUGUAAGAUGACACACUGAGCUUUGAAGCCCCCAAUAAAACUGACCAGGGACAUCUGGCACUAAAAUGCUUGCAUUUCCUCCCCAGAGAAGUCUGCUCUCUGCAGAAAAAGUAAUGCAGGAAUGAAAGCAGGUUGACAUUUUGAAAACAAGAAAACAAUGACCAAAAAAAAUCUUAUUUUUCUACUUCAAGUUGAAGUCCUCAAGAUAGAUCCUUUGACAUCGAGAGUUGACAUUUGUAGCAAUUGGUUAUUUUCAUCUAUUUGACCCUGACUAUAUAGAAGAAGCAGGUAACUCAUCUACUAAUUUCUCUUCAUGGGAACAGGAGAUAGUACUAUGCGUGUUAUUGGGAUUUAAUGCUAAAAAUACACAUAUUAUACAUUCUUAUGAAAAUAAAGGGUUUUUAUUUCUUUUGACAGUUCAAAAAUAAAUAUUCUAGGUAGGGCCUUUGAUAGAACAACCUUGGUUAAAAUACUGCUCCUGGAGAUCCUUGGGAAAUUUUGAAGGAUCUGGGCACCCUCUGAUUGUUGUCAGGUAUAAAUGUUUUUACUUUUUGGGAGGGCGGGAGGCAAAUAGGCUGGGGCUGCAGCUUCUCAGCAAGAGGCACCGAGGUCUAUGUUAGUUUCCAUUGCUAAGGUUAAGCUGAAGAUCUGUGGGGAAGGAGGGGUCCAUAUUGUGUCCAAGGGUCCUUUGUGGAAAGUGAGACCAUUAUCCUGCCCUUUAUGGUUCCUGGCCAAAGUGCCAUCUAUUGUUUGAGAUCUGUGCUUGUUUGCUCUUUUGACUGUUUGCUUAUUAUCUGUCAACAUCUGUAUAUCUGCUUUAGGGAGAAACUUAGUAUUAUGAAAUAAGAUUGACUUAUUACCCCAAAUAAGAGAAAAGGUUGAGCUUGGAUGUCAGUAUGAACGCUCAGUUUCUACCCCAACUAGAAUAAUAGAAGGGAUGGAGAACAGUCACCUAGUGCUCAGCUGACUGAUAGAGGCCACUCCCCGCCCAGUCUUCCCCAUUACCUGGUGACCUUUUCCAGGACCAGCACAGAGGCCUAAGGCCAUAUGGAGAGAAGAGGAAGAUCAGCUACAGCACCGUAUUUUCUAGGCCUCUUACCUAUAGGUGGACAGAGCACAGGGUGCAGUCCACCUUCUUGGUCUACAGAAAAGGAAAUUGAGGACAGAGAGGCAAAGCCCUGGCCCAAGGCCACGUAGCUUAUUACUGGCUGACUUGAAUCCAGCUCCCCUCACUCUCAAAUAAAUAUGCUCUCUACCAAUCAUGAGUGCAAAUGCCAUUUACUUCCAAGUGUUCAUUAAGCCGUCCUUCCCUUCUGGAAGAGUCAGAUUUCUUAAAUGGCACUGAAUUGCUUCCACUUCUUUCAUUUACAUUUGUAUUAGGGCAGAGGAUGAAUUUCGGCUGUAGGAUGCGUUGGUAUUAUUUGUGGCACAAAAUUCAGCAUGCAACAUCACUUGGUUUCUGGAUUAAGAACGGCACUUACCCAUACUGAACAACGCCCAUCAGUGGACCGCCAGGGCCAAUGUCAAGAGUUUGGGCAACAUCAGCCAGGAACUGCUUUUGGAUUCGGAAUCGGCGUUUGCCAAUGCUUGAGCUCCCAUCAAUUAAAAACGACAAGUCAAUUUUGCAGUCUGAGGAAUGAAAAAGGUCUCUGUUAUUCUGAUGAUCUCUCAUUGCAUUAACCCGGGCAGUCUCUCCUCUCUUUCUCCACCACAGCCCCCUGAGAAUCCAAUGCAAAGAAAGGAAAAAGUAGUGGCAAGAUGCAGGGUAUAUUCACUUAUUUAAAUUUGUAACAGAUUUUCACUGGACACCCAGGUCCUGGACACCUAGGCUAGUACUUAUUUCUAUAACUGCUUUAGAAUUCUCUGUAUCAGCCACACUUAGAGCCUGCAGAAGCAAUGGCCUCCCAGUCAAGUGUGGGAAAGCCCCAAGGAUGGUUUCCCCUGCUCAGACCACAUCAGUGCAGGCCCCCAGAUGUAGAAUCACUGAGACUAAGGGUCAGGAGCCUGCGGUCCCCUACCCUCAUCUUAAUUUUGUAGAAUUAUGUGUUGGGUUUUUAUAAAGGUAUGAAAAAAUCUGCAAAGCCCCUGCUGAGGAGAGGGCAGGAAUGGUAGAAUGAGAAAUGGAUACCAAUCUUCUUCACUUCCCCAGGUGAAGCAACCAUAGAAUUACCCACAUUUAUCUACACAUCUCAGUACUUGUUUGUAGCAGUCUCUGAAGUUGUCCCUUUCUUUUCGUUGUGAUAAAGACAAGGACAUUUACUCUGGUUAGAAUCUCUGGACCUCUGUGCAUACACGAAGGGUAUGAGGGAGGUGGGGGACUAAAAGCUCUUCUCAACAUUUCCAACGCUGUAGAAGUUGGUGGAAAGUCACAUAAGCUAAUAGUGUCCUCUUUGCUUUCGACUGAAAUUAUAUCAUCUUAGUAUGAUAAAACUGAUUAUUCAAUACUGAUCAGAAAUUCUUAUUGGGAGGUAUAUAUCCCUUUGCUUAGUAAAAAAAAAGUGGGGAAUGAAUCAUUGAACAACUGUGAUUUGGGAGACAAAAAUAUUUCAAAACAGAUUUCCAUGGGGGGAAAAAAGAGAGAGGGACAGUAAAGUUAGGAAUUUCUGGGCUGGAGUAUCCAUGAGGACACGCGGGCCAGUGCUGUCCUUGGCGCUUGGGCGUGCAGCUGCCUGGACAAGCCUGGAUCUCUCUGGGCUGCUGCACGAUUGCCCAUGAGGCCACACUCAGGCUUUUCUUCUCUCCAAUGCAUCUUGCAUUUCUUCCAUGCAACCGGGGUCUUCCCAUUCCCCAGGAGGAGAUCAGGAGGCAGGGAGGGAUAUAUGUAUAUAUUAAAUGAGAGCAAGAAAUGGACAUGAGUUGACCUAGUGUUAAGCAGAAUCGAUGAGAGAUACUUAUUAAACAGUGAUAUUACAGAAUUGACAGAUUAAGGAAAAAUUUAUAUCUGAGAAUGUGCUUCCUCAUCUUGCACUGACGCAUGGCAAUGAAAGCCAGAGAAGUAGGCGAUGACAGGGACCUCUCUGGGCCUGGCUGACUCUGCUCCAUCUGGAAUUAGUGCCUUGGCUCUUUAGCGGAUCUUGCAAACUUUUAUUUCCUGUCUGCCUGGACAUUCAGUGCCUGCCAACUCUUCCCGUUCCCUUGGCUUCCCCUGUCCUUUGUGGCCCCAAAACUGUCUAUGCCAAAGCAUGAUCCUUGAGAUGAAGAUUGGAAGAAUCAAAUAAAAGCAAGAAGUGAGGCUUAAAGAUACCGCAGAAGGCUGGGAAAAAGCAGAAGAGAAGCAGAACUGUUCUAAGGCUUGUGAUGUUGUACCCCACACAGGGCAAACCCCUUCUUGCCUGUCCAAGCUGGCAAUGAGAAUUGUUGCCAGCAGGUGGCAGUGGUGUUCUUCAGGGCUCCCCUCUCACUGCACCUGUGGUUUGCUAGAAACGAGGACACCCAGGCUCCACCCAGACCUACAGAAUCAGAUUCCCAUUCUAACAAGAUCUCCAGGUAAUCUGUGUGCACAUGAAAGUUUGGGAAACACUCCUGAACAGGGGUUUUUCUUCCAGCUGUCAGCAGAUUAAUUCAAUAUGCCUUUUAAAAUGAAAACUUAAAAAAAAUGUUAAUUAGAAUAAGACCC